AUGGGAAACGGGUUAAUAUUCCCGUACUUCUGACUAUUGCGAUGGGGGGACGGAGAAGGCUAGGUGGGCCAGGCGACGGUUGUCCUGGUUCAAGUGCGUAGGCUUGAGAGUUAGGUAAAUCCGGCUCUCUCUAAGGCUGAGACACGACGUCGAGCUACUACGGUAGUGAAGUCAUUGAUGCCAUGCUUCCAGGAAAAGCCUCUAAGCUUCAGAUAGUCAGGAAUCGUACCCCAAACCGACACAGGUGGUCGGGUAGAGAAUACCAAGGCGCUUGAGAGAACUCGGGUGAAGGAACUAGGCAAAAUGGUACCGUAACUUCGGGAGAAGGUACGCUCUUGAUGGUGAAGUCCCUCGCGGAUGGAGCUGACGAGAGUCGCAGAUACCAGGUGGCUGCAACUGUUUAUUAAAAACACAGCACUGUGCAAAAUCGCAAGAUGACGUAUACGGUGUGACGCCUGCCCGGUGCCGGAAGGUUAAUUGAUGGGGUUAGCGCAAGCGAAGCUCUUGAUCGAAGCCCCGGUAAACGGCGGCCGUAACUAUAACGGUCCUAAGGUAGCGAAAUUCCUUGUCGGGUAAGUUCCGACCUGCACGAAUGGCGUAAUGAUGGCCACGCUGUCUCCACCCGAGACUCAGUGAAAUUGAAAUCGCUGUGAAGAUGCAGUGUACCCGCGGCUAGACGGAAAGACCCCGUGAACCUUUACUACAGCUUGGCACUGAACAUUGAACCUACAUGUGUAGGAUAGGUGGGAGGCUAUGAAGACGUGACGCCAGUUGCGUUGGAGCCGUCCUUGAAAUACCACCCUUGUAUGUUUGAUGUUCUAACUUAGACCCAUUAUCUGGGUUGAGGACAGUGCCUGGUGGGUAGUUUGACUGGGGCGGUCUCCUCCCAAAGAGUAACGGAGGAGCACGAAGGUGGGCUAAUCACGGUUGGACAUCGUGAGGUUAGUGCAAUGGCAUAAGCCCGCUUAACUGCGAGAAUGACGGUUCGAGCAGGUGCGAAAGCAGGUCAUAGUGAUCCGGUGGUUCUGUAUGGAAGGGCCAUCGCUCAACGGAUAAAAGGUACUCCGGGGAUAACAGGCUGAUACCGCCCAAGAGUUCAUAUCGACGGCGGUGUUUGGCACCUCGAUGUCGGCUCAUCACAUCCUGGGGCUGAAGUCGGUCCCAAGGGUAUGGCUGUUCGCCAUUUAAAGUGGUACGCGAGCUGGGUUUAGAACGUCGUGAGACAGUUCGGUCCCUAUCUGCCGUGGGCGUUGGAAGAUUGAAGGGGGCUGCUCCUAGUACGAGAGGACCGGAGUGGACGAACCUCUGGUGUUCGGGUUGUGUCGCCAGACGCAUUGCCCGGUAGCUAAGUUCGGAAUUGAUAAGCGCUGAAAGCAUCUAAGCGCGAAGCGAGCCCUGAGAUGAGUCUUCCCUGACAGUUUAACUGUCCUAAAGGGUUGUUCGAGACUAGAACGUUGAUAGGCAGGGUGUGUAAGCGUUGUGAGGCGUUGAGCUAACCUGUACUAAUUGCCCGUGAGGCUUAACCAU
rnacentral:rRNA from 1 species